GUGCCAGCCGCCGCGGUAAUACGGAGGGUGCAAGCGUUAUCCGGAUUUAUUGGGUUUAAAGGGUCCGUAGGCGGGGUCUUAAGUCAGUGGUGAAAGCCUGCAGCUCAACUGUAGAAUUGCCAUUGAAACUGGGGUCCUUGAAUAUAAUUGAAGUUAGCGGAAUGUGUCAUGUAGCGGUGAAAUGCAUAGAUAUGACACAGAACACCGAUUGCGAAGGCAGCUAACUAAGUUAUGAUUGACGCUGAGGGACGAAAGCGUGGGGAGCGAACAGGAUUAGAAACCCCAGUAGUCC
rnacentral:rRNA from 1 species